rnacentral:rRNA from 1 species
AAAAACAUCGCUCUUUGAAAAGAAUACUAAAACAUAAAGAGUCCUGCCUGCCCAGUGACAGAAGUUAAACGGCCGCGGUAUUUUGACCGUGCAAAGGUAGCAUAAUCAUUUGCCUUUUAAAUGGAGGCUGGUAUGAAUGGCAAGACGGAAGUUUAACUGUCUCUCUUUUAGAAUCUUGAACUUAUCAUCCUCGUGAAGAGGCGGGGAUAAAGUCGUAGGACGAGAAGACCCUGUCGAGCUUAAGCUAUGAAUUAGAGUUAUAGUGUUUUUAUUUCUGAGCUAAUUUUAGAAUAAAUUGAUUUUACUCGGAAUUAAAAGUUUACUGCUAAUUAGUUGUUUUGGUUGGGGCAACCACGGAGAAAACAAACCCUCCGCUAAAAAGCUAAAGAAAAAUUUAUUGUUUUAGAAGAUCUUUAGAUUAAAAAUGAUCCACUAAAGAGUGAUCAAAGGAACAAGUUACCGCAGGGAUAACAGCGUAAUUUUUUUGGAGAGUUCAUAUUGAUAAAAAAGUUUGCGACCUCGAUGUUGGAUCGGGACUUCCAGGAGAUGCAGCAGU